GAGGAAUAUUGGUCAAUGGAUGGAAAUCUGAACCAGCCAAGUAGCGUGCAGGAUGACGGCCCUAUGGGUUGUAAACUGCUUUUAUGUGAGAAUAAAGUUAGGUAUGUAUACUUAUUUGCAUGUAUCACAUGAAUAAGGACCGGCUAAUUCCGUGCCAGCAGCCGCGGUAAUACGGAAGGUCCAGGCGUUAUCCGGAUUUAUUGGGUUUAAAGGGUGCGUAGGCCGUUUGAUAAGCGUGCUGUGAAAUAUAGUGGCUCAACCUCUAUCGUGCAGCGCGAACUGUCGAACUUGAGUGCGUAGUAGGUAGGCGGAAUUCGUGGUGUAGCGGUGAAAUGCUUAGAUAUCACGAAGAACUCCGAUUGCGAAGGCAGCUUACCGUAACGUUACUGACGCUUAAGCACGAAGGUGCGGGUAUCGAACAGGAUUAGAUACCCUGGUAGUCCGCACAGUAAACGAUGGAUGCUCGCUGUUGGCCUUUAUGGUCAGUGGCUUAGCGGAAGCGUUAAGCAUCCCACCUGGGGAGUACGCCGGCAACGGUG
rnacentral:rRNA from 1 species